rnacentral:rRNA from 1 species
GUAGGUGGCAAGCGUUGUCCGGAAUUAUUGGGCGUAAAGCGCGCGCAGGCGGUUCUUUAAGUCUGAUGUGAAAGCCCACGGCUCAACCGUGGAGGGUCAUUGGAAACUGGAGAACUUGAGUACAGAAGAGGAAAGCGGAAUUCCACGUGUAGCGGUGAAAUGCGUAGAGAUGUGGAGGAACACCAGUGGCGAAGGCGGCUUUUCUGGUCUGUAACUGACGCUGAGGCGCGAAAGCGUGGGGAGCAAACAGGGAUUAGAUACCCUGGUAGUCCACGCCGUAAACGAUGAGUGCUAAGUGUUAGGGGGGUUUUCCGCCCCCUUAGUGCUGCAGCUAACGCAUUAAGCACUCCGCCUGGGGGUUACGGCCGCAAGGCUG